UACGUAGGGAGCAAGCGUUGUCCGGAAUCAUUGGGCGUAAAGCGCGCGUAGGUGGCUUCGUAAGUCCGUUGUGAAAGUCAAAGGCUCAACCUUUGAAAGCCGAUGGAUACUGUGAAGCUAGAGUACGGAAGAGGCGAGUGGAAUUCCUGGUGUAGCGGUGGAAUGCGCAGAUAUCAGGAGGAACACCAAUAGCGAAGGCAGCUCGCUGGGACGUUACUGACACUGGAGGCGCGAAAGCGUGGGGAGCGAACAGG
rnacentral:rRNA from 1 species